AGUGAACGCUGGCGGUAUGCCUAACACAUGCAAGUCGAACGGCAGCACAGUAAGAGCUUGCUCUUACGGGUGGCGAGUGGCGGACGGGUGAGGAAUACAUCGGAAUCUACUUUUUCGUGGGUGAUAACGUAGGGAAACUUACGCUAAUACCGCAUACGACCUACGGGUGAAAGCAGGGGAUCUUCGGACCUUGCGCUAUUGAAUGAGCCGAUGUCGGAUUAGCUAGUUGGCGGGGUAAAGGCCAACCAAGGCGACGAUCCGUAGCUGGUCUGAGAGGAUGAUCAGCCACACUGGAACUGAGACACGGUCCAGACUCCUACGGGAGGCAGCAGUGGGGAAUAUUGGACAAUGGGCGCAAGCCUGAUCCAGCCAUACCGCGUGGGUGAAGAAGGCCUUCGGGUUGUAAAGCCCUUUUGUCGGGAAAGAAAAGCAGCCGGUUAAUACGAAGCUGUUCUGACGGUACCCAAAGAAUAAGCACCGGCUAACUUCGUG
rnacentral:rRNA from 1 species